rnacentral:tRNA from 1 species
CAGAGCGUAGCUAAAAUAGGAUAGCAUCUCCCUUACACUGAGAAGACAUCCGUGCAAAUCGGAUCGAGCUGA